CAUCGGGUCUCCGUUGGUGACCAGCGGAGGGUCAUUACCGAGUUUACAACUCCCAAACCCAAUGUGAACGUUACCAAACUGUUGCCUCGGCGGGAUCUCUGCCCCGGGUGCGUCGCAGCCCCGGACCAAGGCGCCCGCCGGAGGACCAACCAAAACUCUUAUUGUAUACCCCCUCGCGGGUUUUUUUUAUAAUCUGAGCCUUCUCGGCGCCUCUCGUAGGCGUUUCGAAAAUGAAUCAAAACUUUCAACAACGGAUCUCUUGGUUCUGGCAUCGAUGAAGAACGCAGCGAAAUGCGAUAAGUAAUGUGAAUUGCAGAAUUCAGUGAAUCAUCGAAUCUUUGAACGCACAUUGCGCCCGCCAGUAUUCUGGCGGGCAUGCCUGUCCGAGCGUCAUUUCAACCCUCGAACCCCUCCGGGGGGUCGGCGUUGGGGAUCGGCCCUGCCUUGGCGGUGGCCGUCUCCGAAAUACAGUGGCGGUCUCGCCGCAGCCUCUCCUGCGCAGUAGUUUGCACACUCGCAUCGGGAGCGCGGCGCGUCCACAGCCGUUAAACACCCAACUUCUGAAAUGUUGACCUCGGAUCAGGUAGGAAUACCCGCUGAACUUAAGCAUAUCAAUAAGCGGAGGA
rnacentral:rRNA from 1 species